CCAGCGUGCCCGUUCGAUCAUCAGCCGUCAACCCCGCGCCCGCCCUUCCCCUCGCGCCGCCCUCGCCGCGUCCGUCGAAGGGGCCUGAGCUGCGGGCGGAUCGACGGAUCAAGCCGGCAGAGACCCACCUCCUCCGCACAGAUCCAUGCCCCCCGGUCCCAGCCUCCACCACCACUGAGCCCCUCCUCCGCCGCCACGCCGCGCCCCUCGUGCUCCUACCCCGCGCUUCUGCCUCCGCCGCGCCGCGCCUAGGUUCUCUUUGACUGCCAUGGAUCGAUCGACGCGCGGUGCCGCCGGCCUCCUCCUCACUUGCCGUCUCUCCGCGCGAGGUCGACAUCCUACCGCUCAGCCGUCGAGCCGCAGUGCCAUCACCUCCAGGCCGGCCACCUCCACCCUUGCUGUGCGUCCAAGGCUCGCUGCUGCGUAUCCCCAUCACCGGGCUGCCUCUCCUCACAGCAAAAUCGAUCGUGCGCCACUGUUGGUGCCUAACCCUAACCCUAGGGUGUUGGCCCCAGUGCACUGCCGCCGGCUUUCCCCGACCUCACCACCAAUUCUUGCCGGCGGCAACCUCUAUCUUCGUCUCCACCGUCAUGAUGACUGGGAUCAAGCGACGAUGACCAGGUCUCCAAAGAAUCAUGACCACAACUCUGUAGAAUCAUGUGAGCCCCUAAUUAAAUUCUAUCUCUUUGUUCAACUAAUUAGCAUUAUAUUUGUGGCGUUUGGACAUAGGGUCUGAAUUGGAUGGACACUUUGAUCUUGAAGCAUCUGGGAAGGACUCAGUACAAAACUGCAGAGUUACCAAACCAUAAUCAAAAUCUGAGAAUAACCAGGUGAUCAGCAAAGUUGGGGCAAGCCUUCUCUGUGACACUAAACCUAGGUCUGAAAUGACAGUGAGUGGUACUCCUCUCUUGCUUGAUCUCAAUCUCUUUUGGAACAACAUUACCAUAAGAUGAUAGAAGCGUUUGCUUCUGCAUGUUUGUGUGGCUGAAGUAAGUUCAUGUAAGCAGAUUCUUCUCUCCUUUUCUUUUUGUUCUUUGUUAAUUCCUUUAGAUAUCCAAAACAAGGCAUGUAAAUUCUGGUAUUAGCAAGUUUCUCUUUUUUUUUUGUUACCGGUGCCUUGUUGUUUAUCCAAUUGGAUGUCGAUGCUCAGUCUAGCAAAUUUCAGUAUAAAAUGUUAGUUGACUUUGCUCUGGACUUAAUGUUUGGUAUGUUUUCCAUGUGAUUGUUUUUUAGCAUGUCGGACAUGAAUACAGGAUACUGGAGUAAACCAGGUAGGCUGAUGGAGCUACAAGAUAACACACAUCUGAAAACAGCACAAAUCAUACU